GAUUUUCAAAAUAAAACAGACAAAUAAUAGUACACAAGAAACAACAAAGAAAACUAAAGACUAAGCAACACGAACCCGUCCAGGGCAGUUUUUAACAAACGAAAGAAAAAGAUAAACAUUUUGGAGGUUAAAGAAACAAGUUCCAAAAUUCAGGUCAUCACAUACAAAACAUCGCUUUCACAGAAAGCCAUACAAUCUGAUUGAAACG
rnacentral:lncRNA from 1 species